UUUUCAGGUCCAUAAAUAGUAAUAUUGGAGAAUCCAGCUGUGCAAUGAGUUUUAAACUAGAAACAAUUUAAUAGUUGAGACAAGCAAAGUUGAAGCCAUCCACCAUAGUAAAUUCUAUUUUUCAAUCAACUUAAUUUACAAGAUCGACAUACAUACACACAAUAUACAUGAAGUAUACAUAGUUCAAGAAACAGCACGCAACGGGAGUAAACUCCAAUAGCAAGACUGUAUCAAACGAAGACACAUUUUGAGAUGCCAGGAUGAAAUUCCUCAUUCAAGGAACAAAAUUAGUGAACCACAUUUCCUGUGCUAGUUCCUCAAAUGCUAGAAGCAGAUAAAUUUCUGUUGUUCCAAGACGGAAAUCUUGGAAUGAAAUUGCUAGUACAAGUUUAGUGCACACCACAACAAGACAUAUUUGCUGUACCAGGAACUAAAUCGAUGAACCAAAUUUCCUGUGCUAGUUCCAUAAACACCAGAAGCAUAUAAAUUCCUGUUGUUCCAAGAGGGAAAUCUUGGAAUGAAAUUGCUAGUACAAGUUUAGUGCACACCACAACAAGACAUAUUUGCUGUACCAGGAACUAAAUCUAUGAACCAAAUUUCCUGUGCUAGUUCCAUAAACACCAGAAGCAUAUAAAUUCCUGUUGUUCCAAGAGGGAAAUCUUGGAAUGAAAUUGCUAGUACAAGUUUAGUGCACACCACAACAAGACAUAUUUGCUGUACCAGGAACUAAAUCGAUGAACCAAAUUUUCUGUGCUAGUUCCAUAAACACCAGAAGCAUAUAAAUUCCUGUUGUUCCAAGAGGGAAAUCUUGGAAUGAAAUUGCUAGUACAAGUUUAGUGCACACCACAACAAGACAUAUUUGCUGUACCAGGAACUAAAUCGAUGAACCAAAUUUUCUGUGCUAGUUCCAUAAACAUCAGAAGCAAACAAAUUUCUGUUGUUCCAAGAGGGAAAUCUUGGAAUGAAAUUGCUAGUACAAGUUUAGUGCACACCACAACAAGACAUAUUUGCUGUACCAGGAACUAAAUCGAUGAACCAAAUUUUCUGUGCUAGUUCCAUAAACAUCAGAAGCAAACAAAUUUCUGUUGUUCCAAGAGGGAAAUCUUGGAAUGAAAUUUGUAGUACAAGUUUAGUGCACACCACAACAAGACUAGUGUUUGCUGUACCAAGAACUACAUUGAAGAACCAAAUUUCUUGUGCUUGUUCAAUUAAUGCCAGAAGCAAAUUUCUGCUGUUUCAAGAGCAAAAUCUUGGAUUGAAAUUCCUCAUACAAGUUUAGUACACACCAGUACACACAACAAGACAAGCAUUUGCAUAACCAGGAAUGAAAUCAAGGAUUAAAAUUUCCUGUGCUAUUUCAAUAUACACCAGUAAGAGAUAAAUUCUUGCUAUUCCAGAAUUAAAAUCCUCCUUGCAAAUUUACUAAACUUCAAAACAGACACAUUUUCAAGACUCGCAUCAGUUCCAGCAUAAAAUCUUGAAAAUAUAUUCUGCAUGCAAGAUCAAAAACAAUGGAAAAAAUAAUUGU